rnacentral:ncRNA from 2 species
UGUAGGAGCUGGCUUGCCUGCGAUAGCGGUCUGUCAGUUGUAAAUUAACUGCCUGAAACACCGCUAUCGCAGGCAAGCCAGCUCCCACA